rnacentral:lncRNA from 1 species
GAAUAUCCUUCAUUUGCAGAACUAGUAAAAACAUCUUUGGAACUGCACUUCCAAUUAAUUCAAUGACUGUUUAUUAAGCCAUUGUCGUAUAUGGGAUAUUGAGUAAGAUUGUGUUGGCAUUUACUGAGCACCCAUUUAUUACAUGAUAUAAUUUUUGCCUGUGCUAUUUUACCUAAUCUCCUCAUCAACCCAUUUUGCAGGUGAUGAAACCUAAAGCAAGAGAAGUCAAGUUACCAGGUCUUUUAGUCCACAUGGUUUACUCAUCUUUCAACUGCAAGGCAGCUUUGCAUGGAGGAUGGUAAGACUUUGGGCCAGCCCAAGUCAAGACUGAAGGAAAUGGAGUCUUGCUCUGUUGUCCAGGCUGGAGUGCAGUGGCACGAUCUUGGCUCAUGCAACCUCUGCCUCCUGGGUUCAAGCAAUUCUCCACCUCAGCCUCCUAAGUAGCUGGGACUACAGGUGCAUACCACCAUGCCUGGCUAAUUUUUUUAUUUUUAGUAGAGAUGGGUUGGUCUCGAACUCGUGACCACGUGAUCUGCCCACCUCAGCCUCCCAAAGCGCUGGGAUUAUAGGCGUGAGCCACUGCACCUGGCCCUAAAUUAUUAUUCAUCUGGGGGAAUGGGUUGGACAUGUAUAUUGCUCUGUAAAUCUGUUUUCUAGUUGAUUAAUAUUUCUGUACCCUGACUGCCCUCCUUGGAGACAGAGAUCUAUUUCUCUUGAAAUUCCCCAGAGGACCCUUUACUAUAUUUUGUUCAAUAAGUUCUACUAAUAAACACAAUUUGAAGAAUGUAAAUACACUUUAUUUUUUAAAGUUCUAGACUCACCCCAAGCAGCCUCUGUGGGACUCAUUCUAUGCAAAGAGUUCCGAGCAUGCACCCACAGCACACACGGUGCCAUUAGCUCAUCCAACCUCUCAACGUGAUUUCAUACCUGACUGGUAUGAGAUUGUCUUUAUAAAAGCAUUGACCCAUAGCAGUGGCAGCAUCUGUCUAUUAGUGUGCUCAACAUUAAACUGGAAUUUUAAUGCUAAUAAUUAACUAGAACAAUAUCUCACUUGGACAGAAGCCAUUUCAUCUUCUCCUGUGAGCUAAAAUGUUAUUUGAACAACUAUCAAGGCCAUAGAAGUAGAAAGAACAUUUUGAUAUUACAAUGUUUUAGCAAAAGUAAAAGAAUAAAUUCAGGUUUCAUGAAAAUAUUAAAGGUAAUGAUCAUUCUGAAAUGGCGUUGGUUAAUGCAAAACGAUCUUGUUACUAAAAUGGUAUUUCAGUUUUCUUCUGUUUUAAAGCCAAGUGAGUCAUAAUAAAAUGAUAUUGGUCAUUAUAUCUUUAUUGCUAAUACAAACG